rnacentral:rRNA from 1 species
CGCGACCCCAGGUCAGGCGGGGCUACCCGCUGAGUUUAAGCAUAUCAAUAAGCGGAGGAAAAGAAACUAGCGAGGAUCCCCCAGUACGCGAGCGACGGAAUC